AUAAAUGAAAGGGAAUCUUCCUGUUCAUCAUUAGAGGAAGGCUGCAAAUUUUCCUCCUCCAUUGUACUGUCAGCAUCAACUUCAAAAUUUAUUUGCUCCCCUGUGCUCGCACCAUCUUCAUUCACCUCAACAUCUGGAUUUGCAUGCUCAGAAGUAGUUUCUUGCCCUUGUUCUUCACUGACAUCAACAUUGCUUGAAGAUGUAAAGAAGUUAUUCAAAGAACCCUUCAGUGCUAGAAUUUUUAGAUCACUUUCUUUCUUUUUCCUCCUUUUUUCAGCACCCGACAAUUGCUUCUUCUUAGGUAACAUGGCAGGCUAAUGUCCUAAAAUCAUGAAGAAAAGAUCAAAAGAGGAUACAAAGAAUUAGGAAUUUAUACAUCGGAUGAUUGGAACCCUAGACAUGUACAUAGAAUGACUAAAAAUUGAUAGAUUGGAUUACAAUGCGUACAUACUAAAUAAAGAAUAAAUAACCUGCUACUGAGAUUGUCAAAUUGAGGUUUGGGGAUGGACAGGGAUACGUACUUGGUACUUCUUGCCGUAUUUCCGUACUUCUUGACUUCUUGACUUCUUGACUUCCAGUCGGUGCCGGAUGCCGGAUGGCUGAUUGGCCGGGCUGCCGCCUGCCUGCCGGACUGCUGUGGCGGCGACGGCGAGCCAGCGAGGCGAGGGCAGGGCGACGCGGCAAGGCAAGGCGCCGAGCGACGGCCGACGGAUCGAGCGAGAAGGCCGACGGGCGUGAGUCAAGGCGCCGUUUAGGCUUCGCCUACGCGUACGUAUCCAUCAGCGAUUCAGCGACAGGCCUGAUCAGCGAUCGCUAGCUAUAUCUGGGCCGCCCAGCACAUCAGCGACAGGCCUGUAUAGUAUAAUUUUUUUUUGAGACAAAGGCCUGUAUAGUAUAUGUAUACUCCAUCAUGUGCCCCCCCCCCCUCGGCUGGGCCCUGGGCCGUCGCCCCGUCGCCCAUGCCCCAGGGCCGGCCCUGGGAAGUAGUUGUUCACCAGAACUUAAAAAACCCCUUGAACCAAAGGAAAAAAAAUGCAAACCAACAUAUUUAAUCAAUUUUUAUCAUGACAAAAAAUUACUAUGAUGGUUAUAUUAUAAGAUACACAAUUAUAUUUUUUUCAACUAUAGCAAUACUAACAUAUUUGUGCUAAUCAGAAGGAAAAGCUCCAUAUAUAAGCAUAACACGGUGUAUGAGGUCACUCUCUUACAAUUAAAGGACAUUGUAGCAUCACAAAAUAAUCUGCAAAGGGGAGUUUCAGGCCUGGCCUCCAUUGUGGUUACAAUUAGGGCUAGCUUACUUGCAUGGUAAUAGAAGUUGGGCCAUACACUGACCAUUCUGUUCAUUGCUUGAUUAUGUAAUGUUUGAUUGUUUGGCUACAAAGCAGUCAUAGGCCCAGAGUAGAAAAGAAAAUUUAUAUGUCUGUUCCAUGGGAAAAGGCCGAUCCAUUUUGUUUCUAUUUUAAAAAAAAAUAUGUUUCCGUUUCAUUCUGCACAUUUCUACUUUCGUUUCCAUAUUUCCUCUGUGUUUUCUUUUUCUAAUAGAAUACCGGAAAGUUUCUGCUCCGUUUUCAUCCCUAGUCGUAUGAAACAUAUUUGUAACUUACGAAGUAUUUUUAAUAUUGUAUAUAUUUAUAAAAAUAUUCUCACAUACACUUUUCAAAAAAAAUGUGAACAUUCUUGAAAUGUUGCCAAUUUUUUUUGAAAGAUAAAAAUUAUAUUAAAGUUUUGGUGAACAUUUUUUAACAUUGGAUCAAGAUUUUCCGCGUGUGCGAUGUCUAUUUUUGGAAAAUUGAAUAAAAUUAAUUUCUGAUAUAUAUAUUUAUAUAUAUGUGUGUGUGUUAACAAUAUUAAAAACUAGCAAAAUUGGAAAAACACAUGGGUCCUACAUACAUGUGCAUGUGCUCCUUUUUUAGGUGUACGCGCUGCUGCCUCACACACUCACUAUCAAUGAAUAAACCAAGAUACCGGGUCGGCUCCCUACCGAAUCCCCUGGAAUCGUUCCAUUGAAGAAAGAACGCGAAAUCAUUUGGUAUAGGGCGCACCCCCCUCCCUAAGUGGGCUACCGGCCCUUUAGUUCCCAACCCCCUCUAGUUUUCUGCGCUAGGUUUUCUCUGGUUUCCGUUUUCGUCGGAACUAUUGUGGUUUGUCGGUUUUUCCAUUUUGGUUUUCUGGUUUUUAAUAUUAAAUUAUAACUUCAUGAUUUUUCAAUUUAGGUAAACAUUUUAAAAUCUGUAAUUGUUUCUGAAAAUUCCUGAACAUUUUGUAGAUUCACAAGCUUUUUUAGAAUUCAUCAAAAGAAUCCCUAAAAAUUUAAUACUUUUUUGUAUCUUUUAAUAAUUCAUGAUUUUUUUCAAAUAUAUGAACUAUUUUCAACUUCAUGCACAUUUAUAAAAUUUGUGAAGUUUUUUGACAUUGACGAAUUAUUUUUCAAAUCCACGUCUUUUUUAAAAAAGUCAACGGUCAAACGGUCAAUGGUGAACCUUCGGUGGUCAUAUGGUCGAACAAGGGGCGAGGAGGGUGACGAAGUGAGCGGCCAAGUUGCGUUUGUUGGGAUGGCCCACGCAAGCAGGCAUGUGACCACUGCUAUGCUAGCUAGGUGGCGUGGAUUGCUAAUAAAAUAUCACUUCCAAAAUAUAGUAUGCUGAAAGUGAUAUUUUAUUAGCACAUGAAAUUCCUAAUUCCAACACAAAUUCGUUUAUGAGGUGCAAAGAAACAAAAUCAGAAUUGAAUAGAGCCGAACAUGAAACAUCACUAUUCAUUGCUGAAUUUCCUUUUAAUAGCUCCUAAAUGAUUUUGUGUUUAAACUUGGAAUUUCACAUGGCAAUAUGACAUCACCCUCUUAACAUACUGUUUUUUUUGUUUUUUUAAUUUCAACGUGGUUUCUUUGAAUUGAGACUUAGUUUCCUCGCGAUAUAUAUUCUCUCGUUACAGUUUCCUAGUACGCUCACAAGCAGACCUGUACAAGAAGACACAUGGAGGAAUAGUUGUGUAAUGGUGGCUCCCGCGUCUGCAGCGCCUUCGGCCAUUUAUAUAAAUACUAAUGUUGCAAACCCGGAGAGAAAAGGCAGCCAGGCGACCGCCCGACCUGAGCUCUCGGGAACGCGCCGCUCCUAGGGUUCCCUCAGCCGCCGCCGCCGGCUCCCCCGCGCGGAGCCGCGGCGGCGGCCGGAGCCCGUUGCCGCUGCUAGCCGGAGCCUGCUCCCCUAACCCUCCCUCCCCUCCCCUUCCUUCCCCGUACCCCCACCUUGCCUUCCCGAGCGAGGCGACCGGAGGCCUCUUCCCCGCUCCUUUCCAACUCUCCUCCCUCGCCCAUGCCUCCACCCAUCGCCGCCAGCUAGCGCCGCCGGACCUCGGCCGCGUGGUGCUGGUACCGACGGACCUUCCCUUCACCGCGCGCGGCUCCCUACUGCUCGGACGGUCGUGGCUGGCGGCGGUGCUCCUCGGCCGGCAUCGGUGCGGCCCGUCGGUGGUGGUGUCGCGGGCCCGGUGGCUCUCGAAGCGGCGGUGCGGCCGUUGGCUGUGGGACGGUGUGGUGGCGCUGGGGCUGGCGGCGCCCGCCCAGCCCAGAUCUGGGCCCUUUAGGGUCCAUCUGGGUUGGGGCGGGCCGGUGGCUUAGCGUUUGGCAGCGACGUUCCUUGGUGGUGGCGUUUUGGCGGCGGUCUUGGGCGGUGAGGACUUCGUUGGUCGUUGAGCUGCAGCGUGGUGAUAGGACUGUCCGGGUCCACAUGGGCCCGGCCAGGCCUUCGAGGCCUGGCAAGUCCUCGUCUUCGCGUCCGGUCGGCUCCGCUGCGGCGGUGGAGGCUGUCCCCUGCCUCCGGUUGAGUUGUGGUCGUUCCCGUGGCUGGUCUCUCCUCUUCCUCUCCAAGUCUCGUGUUGACAGCUCGAGUGAGGCAGUGAGGGUUGUCCGGUAAUCGUGGUGGCACAAGCUGGUGGGUGGCUGAGGGGGUGGUGCAUUUCGAAAUGCCUAAGGUGGUGGUGGUGGUUGUGGAUCGGGAGAAACCCCUGUCGGCCUGGCCGACACCGAUGCGAUGACGCCUGCGGGCACCGUCAGACCUUCCUGAGGGGCAUCGGGUAUACCCCUUCCCCACUAUCCCUCUAGUAGCGGGGGAAACCCUAAAACUUAUUCGGGAAACAGCAUUGACAUCGUCGCAUUCCUUCCUGAAGGUGUUGCUUGGGGCGUGGCGCUUUGGGAUGCUGGGAGCGUGGUGGCACUUCUUCGGAGGGUGUAGCGGUUGUCGGUCUUCCUUUCGUCGUUGAUCUGCCGGUGUUGGCAUUUAUUUCUUUUUAUUUUUCUUGUUUUUUUGGGCUUAUCUGUGCUACGGCCCCAGCGAGCUGGAUCUAUCGGGUGUUUGCUUUAUAAUAUAAAGCGGGGGGAAACCCUUUAUCGUAAUCUUCUCUUCUCUUAUAAAAAACCGAGUUGGUGAUGAUGGUACGCCUGCCAUCUUGCAAUAUAGACCGUCCGAUCUAUAUCUGACGGAUAGAAAUUAAACUAAAAGAUACCCGCACAAUCUCUCCACAUUUGUAGACAAGGCCUUUCCCUCGUUCAUCCUUAUCUCCCACAACCUCAUUGUUGAGCAAUUAAAAAAGGAAGCCUCUAGAACAAACUGGCAUGGUGGUCGCUACCAGCGUCGUCCAUCCCCAUGCCUCCGCACAGUCCGACCACCAAUCACCACCAUGCCCCACUCCUCCUUACCUUAUCUCUCCUCUUUCUUGAGAUAUCAUUAGUUUUUACACAUGGGAUUACUCCCGCAUGGGUCAAUCACAACAGGUGUUUUAAAAAAAUGCAUCUUGAUGUUCCGUGCAAUGCACGGAUAUCUUGCUAGUAAAUACUAAUGCUAAGUGAUCUUGUAUUUAUCCAUUAUUAAAAUUAAGGCCUUUCUACAUUCUUCUUUGAGCCCCCCCACCACCCCCCACCACCACACACACACACAAAAUAAAAUCAACCAGUACUACAAACAGAAUGAAACUAUAAUAAUGUGACAACUUAAUAUUGCCAUGGUAAACCCAGGAUUGCAUUGUACCAAAUCAUACUUUCAGCAAGUACUUCAGUGGUGAGAGCCAUUAUCGUUGCUCAUCAAAGCAAAGAACGAUUACUUUCACAGCCAACCUCACAGAGCAAUCUUGUCUAGGUAUGUCAAGUAAUGGGAAUAUGCUAGCUCCAUCGGCUUCUUUUUUUUUGAUGAAUUUCUAUUGAUAAUAAGGAUCAAACCUUGAAUACACUACAAAAAUUUACCAUUCAACAUUGAAUUAGAAAAUAGGCAAUCUCUGGUGACAUCAUAAGAAUUUAUUAAACUUGCAUGAUCACAUCCUUAAAUACCUGAGUAGCAUACACAAUACAAUCACGAAAAAAAUGAAGAACUGAGUAGCCCUCUAUGAAUGUAGCUAGCAUGCGUCAUGGAAGAAGGGGCAAAAGAUGCGAGCUACCUAUACAAUCUUUACAUCAGAUGGGUAGAUAUAACAAUCUCAAAGGUGAACAUGAAAAUAAAGUAGAUGCACGUAUUUUGAGGACAUGGAAUUUACAGAAUGUUGGUAGAGUUGAGAAAAGGUGAGGGCAAGCUACCAACUAGAUUAGUUGAUGCUAAUUGGUGCUCCAUUGUUCUUAUCUUAAGCUCAGACCGAUGCUAAGGUGAUUCAUGAGAUCCGUAGAACUGGCUCUAGUUGCCUGGUUUUGAAACUUGAUUAUGAGAAGGUCCAUGACAAAGUGAGAUGGGAUUUCCUUAUGGAAAUACUCUCCUUUAGAGCUUUUGGGGAUAAGUGGAUUAGGCGGAUUUCUGGAACAUUAUCUUAGAGCCCCCUUUUUGUGUCAUACUUAGUUAAUCUUUACCUAAUAAUAAAGGACGGAAGCUUUCAUAGUUCUUCAUACGUCACCUCUUUAUAUCCGUUGAUUUUGCGUUAAUCAUAGAGAUUGAUGGAUGAGAUUUAUCUACCUUUUUAUUUUAUAUAAAAAACAGUUUGAACAUAAAAAGUAUUGCUCCUGUUAAAGAUUGAACCCACGACCUCCACUUUUGAUCCCUUGGGGAACAACCAGCCGUGCUAGACCAAACAUUGAUUACAAUUCAGGGUUCUCUCGCUAAUGAACAGUCCCGAUCGCGGUUCACAAUUUUUUUUCCUUUCUUCGCGUCGACCGUCCACCCAUACAUGGUCUUCGGAUCGCGUUAUGGCCCAACAAACAUGCCUGAACCUCAGCUCACGUUAUGACCCAACAAUGUUUAUUUUUUCCUCAAAGGAUAACUGUUUCCUAUACCACAUUAAUUUCAACCGUCGUUGAGCCAGACUGUGCUUUGCAGCCCAAUAAAUCCAGCCCAUCCCAGUUGAAGCAAAAAAAAUACAUGCGAUGGAGAUGAGUCAAAACCAGCACUUAACGACCAGCACAUAAAGGCCCAGCCAAAUGAGCUAGCUUGGGUUAUUAGUAGAAUUCAAGAUUGAUUCUAAUCUUAAAAAGUCCCACAUUGCUCCCUUACAAUCAAUCUACCCAAUUUGUAUCUAUAUAUAUACCUACUAUUAAAGGGAAUAGGUAUUCUUAGUUUGGUUUAGUCAUUUUCCUUUGGUUUGCACACGCUAAGCGAUCUGGCCCAGGUACUUGUAUGUUGAUGGGACUUUUAUGGGCUUUCGCGAAAAAUAAUUGGGUCAAAAUAAAUCAACAUUGUGGGAAUUGAACACGUGACCUCAUGUCUAGCUCUUCGAUGUAACAACCAACGACCUAUGCGCCUUUCACAUUUACUAAUCCCAACUCGCUUUAAAUAUACGAGUGGCAGACAUCAUGUUUAGGCGAGCUAAUUAAGCAAAUGAGCUAAUAAAGGAAGGAUUGUGGGCUUAAAUAGAAUAUUUAAACGGAUGUGACUAAUUAAAGAAAGAAUUAUGGGUAAACCGGUGGAAUAACUAAAAUAAAAAUCAUUGUCUUAAUAAAUUCUACAUGAAAGAUUUGAGGUAAAAAGGUAGGUUAAUUAAAAGGAAGGAUAUGCAGGCUUCAAUGUGUUGGGGCUACUAAAUUAUAAAAGGAAGGAUUUGAUUCCCGACUAAAAUGAGUGAGUACGUCAUGGUAAUUAAUGAAAGGAUUAUACUUAAAUGCCAUUAAAAAGGAUUAUAUUUAAAUGGGAUCAGUGGGAGAUUAUGCCCGGCAAAGAAAACAUGAACACCGCUAUAUUGCAACGUAUUUUUCUAUGUUCAUUUUGUAUAAGGAUGCUUUGUUGCAGCAUGGUCUUCAUAGUGAAUCUGGUGCUGUGAGACAUUAUGCUUGCACAAAACAUGAAUUUCCCCGUUGCAACGCACGGACAUAUGUGCUAGUGAUACUAAUGGACCUCAAUUUAAUUGGGUCAAAGGACUAACACAAGGUGAUCCCCUCUCUCCUAUACACUACUAGGAAAAACCUUAUACACAUGAGCUUACUAUUAGCGUGGAUUAUUUGUCCCACGCUACUACUACUUAGUAGUAGCGAGCGCAGUAAAAAAGCGCUACUAGUAGGGCAUAGUAGUAGCGCGGGUACAGAAGAACACGCUACUACUAAGAGGUUCCCAUCAUGCCUCCUCGGUUGGGGAGUAGUAGUAGAGUGGGGGUGUAAAACCCGCGUUACUUUUUUUUCCU
rnacentral:lncRNA from 1 species